rnacentral:rRNA from 1 species
AUUGAACGCUGGCGGCAGGCCUAACACAUGCAAGUCGAACGAGUGGCGGACGGGAGAGUAAUGUCUGGGAAACUGCCCGAUGGAGGGGGAUAACUACUGGAAACGGUAGCUAAUACCGCAUACCAUCAGAUGUUCCCAGAUGGGAUUCGCUAGUAGGUGGGGUAACGGCUCACCAAGGCGACGAUCCCUAGCUGGUCUGAGAGGAUGACCAGCCACACUGGAACUGAGACACGGUCCAGACUCCUACGGGAGGCAGCAGUGGGGAAUAUUGCACAAUGGGCGCAAGCCUGAUGCAGCCAGGCCGCGUGUAUGAAGAAGGCCUUCGGGUUGUAAAGUACUUUCAGCGGGGAGGCGUUACCCGCAGAAGAAGCACCGGCUAACUCCGUGCCAGCAGCCGCGGUAAUAC